CCUCUGCUGUUGUCCGUGAGGUGAUUGGCAAUUGAAUCCCGAGUAAGCAUGAACCAGGGGCCCACAACGCUGUCGUGGUGAGCUAGGCCCGAGACGUCAUCGGGAAGCCUAAAGCGGCACAUCGGGUACCCACCUAGCCGCAAGCUAGGGGUUCAAGUCAUCAACCCACGAUUACGGCGGUAAG
rnacentral:other from 1 species